rnacentral:rRNA from 1 species
CAGUCGAACGGUGAAGCCCAGCUUGCUGGGUGGAUCAGUGGCGAACGGGUGAGUAACACGUGAGCAACCUGCCCUCCACUUCGGGAUAAGCCUUGGAAACGAGGUCUAAUACCGGAUACGAGCACUUACCGCAUGGUGGGUGUUGGAAAGUUUUUCGGUGGGGGAUGGGCUCGCGGCCUAUCAGCUUGUUGGUGGGGUAAUGGCCUACCAAGGCGUCGACGGGUAGCCGGCCUGAGAGGGCGACCGGCCACACUGGGACUGAGACACGGCCCAGACUCCUACGGGAGGCAGCAGUGGGGAAUAUUGCACAAUGGGCGAAAGCCUGAUGCAGCGACGCCACGUGAGGGAUGACGGCCUUCGGGUUGUAAACCUCUUUCAGCAGGGAAGAAGCGCAAGUGACGGUACCUGCAGAAGAAGCGCCGGCUAACUACGUGCCAGCAGCCGCGGUAAUACGUAGGGCGCAAGCGUUGUCCGGAAUUAUUGGGCGUAAAGAGCUCGUAGGCGGUCUGUCGCGUCUGGUGUGAAAUCUCAUGGCUCAACUGUGAGCUUGCAUCGGGUACGGGCAGACUAGAGUGCUGUAGGGGAGACUGGAAUUCCUGGUGUAGCGGUGGAAUGCGCAGAUAUCAGGAGGAACACCGAUGGCGAAGGCAGGUCUCUGGGCAGUUACUGACGCUGAGGAGCGAAAGCAUGGGGAGCGAACAGGAUUAGAUACCCUGGUAGUCCAUGCCGUAAACGUUGGGCACUAGGUGUGGGGCCAGUUCCACUGGUUCUGUGCCGUAGCUAACGCAUUAAGUGCCCCGCCUGGGGAGUACGGCCGCAAGGCUAAAACUCAAAGGAAUUGACGGGGGCCCGCACAAGCGGCGGAGCAUGCGGAUUAAUUCGAUGCAACGCGAAGAACCUUACCAAGGCUUGACAUGUACGAGAAAGCCCCAGAGAUGGGGUUCUCUUUGGACACUCGUACACAGGUGGUGCAUGGUUGUCGUCAGCUCGUGUCGUGAGAUGUUGGGUUAAGUCCCGCAACGAGCGCAACCCUUGUCUCAUGUUGCCAGCGGGUUAUGCCGGGGACUCAUGGGAGACUGCCGGGGUCAACUCGGAGGAAGGUGGGGAUGACGUCAAAUCAUCAUGCCCCUUAUGUCUUGGGCUUCACGCAUGCUACAAUGGCCGGUACAGAGGGCUGCGAUACCGUGAGGUGGAGCGAAUCCCAAAAAGCCGGUCUCAGUUCGGAUCGGGGUCUGCAACUCGACCCCGUGAAGUCGGAGUCGCUAGUAAUCGCAGAUCAGCAACGCUGCGGUGAAUACGUUCCCGGGCCUUGUACACACCGCCCGUCAAGUCACGAAAGUUGGUAACACCCGAAGCU